rnacentral:lncRNA from 1 species
AAUCAAUUUUCAUCCUUAAUAACAGCCCUAGUAAUAAAACUAGGAAUAGUCCCCUUUCAUUUCUGAGUCCCAGAGGUAACCCAAGGAACCUCCCUAAUGCCUGGCACACUUCUCCUCACAUGACAAAAACUAGCCCCUAUCUUGAUUAUGUUUCAAAUUCUCCCAUCAAUAAACACGAAUAUCCUCCUAUCUAUCACAAUCCUAUCCAUUAUUGUAGGUGGUUGAGGAGGACUUAAUCAAACACAACUGUGUAAAAUCCUGGCA